rnacentral:rRNA from 1 species
UACAGAGGUCCCAAGCGUUGUUCGGAUUUACUGGGCGUAAAGAGCUUGUAGGCGGUUCGGUUAGUCGGGUGUGAAACCUCUGGGCUCAACUCAGAGACGCCACCCGAUACUGCUGUGACUAGAGUGCGGUAGGGGAGCGGGGAAUUCCUGGUGUAGCGGUGAAAUGCGCAGAUAUCAGGAAGAACACCCGUGGCUAAGGCGGUUCUCUAGUACGGUACUGACGCUGAGACGCGAAAGCGUGGGGAGCGAACAGG